GUUGUUGUGGCCGAAUGGUUAAGGCGAAGGACUCGAAAUCCAUUGUGGUCUCCCUGCGCAGGUUUGAUUCCUGCUGACUACG